rnacentral:rRNA from 1 species
UGCUAGUGCUGACGAGUGGCGGAUGGGUGAGUAACGCGUAGGAAUCUACCCAGUUGUGGGGGAUAGCCCGGAGAAAUCCGGAUUAAUACCGCAUACGCCCUACGGGGGAAAACAGGGGAUCUUCGGACCUUGUGCAAUUGGAUGAGCCUGCGUUAGAUUAGCUAGUUGGUGAGGUAAGAGCUCACCAAGGCAACGAUCUAUAGCUGGUCUGAGAGGAUGAUCAGCCACAUCGGGACUGAGACACGGCCCGGACUCCUACGGGAGGCAGCAGUGGGGAAUAUUGGACAAUGGGCGCAAGCCUGAUCCAGCAAUGCCGCGUGUGUGAAGAAGGCCUUAGGGUUGUAAAGCACUUUCAAUUGUGAAGAAGGGUAUUAGAUUAAUACUCUAGUAUCUUGACGUUAACUUUAGAAGAAGCACCGGCUAACUCUGUGCCAGCAGCCGCGGUAAUACAGAGGGUGCAAGCGUUAAUCGGAAUUACUGGGCGUAAAGCGCGCGUAGGCGGUUAGAUAAGUAAGAUGUGAAAUCCCCGGGCUCAACCUGGGAACUGCAUCUUAAACUGUUUAACUAGAGUUUAGGAGAGGGAAGUAGAAUUUCAGGUGUAGCGGUGAAAUGCAUAGAGAUCUGAAGGAAUACCAGUGGCGAAGGCGACU